GCGGGCGUGGCGGAAUGGUAGACGCCGGGGACUUAAAAUCCCCUGUCCUUUUGAGACGUGUGGGUUCGAGUCCCACCGCCCGCACCA
rnacentral:tRNA from 1 species